GACGAUUGAAAGCUUGCUUUCGAAAGUCGAGUGGCAAACGGGUGAGUAACGCGUAGACAACCUGCCUUUGAGAUGGGGACAACAGUUCGAAAGGACUGCUAAUACCGAAUGUUGUAUAUUUUCCACAUGGAAGAUGUAUUAAAGAUGGCCUCUAUUUAUAAGCUAUCGCUCAAAGAUGGGUCUGCGUCUGAUUAGCUAGUUGGUGGGGUAACGGCCUACCAAGGCGACGAUCAGUAGCCGGUCUGAGAGGAUGAACGGCCACAUUGGGACUGAGACACGGCCCAGACUCCUACGGGAGGCAGCAGUGGGGAAUCUUCCACAAUGGACGAAAGUCUGAUGGAGCAACGCCGCGUGAGUGAAGAAGGGUUUCGGCUCGUAAAGCUCUGUUGUCGGGGACGAAUGUGCAGUAUUUGAAUAAAGUACUGCAAUGACGGUACCUGACGAGGAAGCCACGGCUAACUACGUGCCAGCAGCCGCGGUAAUACGUAGGUGGCAAGCGUUGUCCGGAAUUAUUGGGCGUAAAGGGAGCGCAGGCGGGAAGGUAAGUCGGUCUUAAAAGUGCGGGGCUCAACCCCGUGAUGGGAUCGAAACUAUCUUUCUUGAGUGCAGGAAAGGAAAGUGGAAUUCCUAGUGUAGCGGUGAAAUGCGUAGAUU
rnacentral:rRNA from 1 species